UGCCGAAACCUAGGAUCGAACCAGGAACCUUUAGAUCUUUAAGUCUCUCCCAACUGAGCCAAUUCAGC